rnacentral:rRNA from 1 species
UGAGGAAUAUUGGUCAAUGGGCGCGAGCCUGAACCAGCCAAGUCGCGUGAGGGAAGACGGUCCUAUGGAUUGUAAACCUCUUUUGUCGGGGAGCAAAGAAGUCACGUGUGACUAAAAGUGAGAGUACCCGAAGAAAAAGCAUCGGCUAACUCCGUGCC